AAUAUUGCACAAUGGAGGGAACUCUGAUGCAGCAACGCCGCGUGAGUGAAGAAGGUUUUCGGAUCGUAAAACUCUGUCAUUGGGGAAGAAUAAAUGACGGUACCCAAUGAGGAAGCCCCGGCUAACUACGUGCCAGCAGCCGCGGUAAUACGUAGGGGGCGAGCGUUGUCCGGAAUCACUGGGCGUAAAGGGUGCGUAGGCGGCUAUUUAAGUCCUGUGUGAAAGGCCCCGGCUCAACCGGGGAGUGCCAUGGGAAACUGGAUGGCUUGAGUGCUGGAGAGGAAAGUGGAAUUCCUAGUGUAGCGGUGAAAUGCGUAGAGAUUAGGAGGAACACCAGUGGCGAAGGCGACUUUCUGGACUGUAACUGACGCUGAGGUACGAAAGCGUGGGUAGCGAACA
rnacentral:rRNA from 1 species